rnacentral:rRNA from 1 species
AUAGGGGAGCCGAAGGGAAACCGAGUCUUAACUGGGCGUUAAGUUGCAGGGUAUAGACCCGAAACCCGGUGAUCUAGCCAUGGGCAGGUUGAAGGUUGGGUAACACUAACUGGAGGACCGAACCGACUAAUGUUGAAAAAUUAGCGGAUGACCUGUGGCUGGGGGUGAAAGGCCAAUCAAACCGGGAGAUAGCUGGUUCUCCCCGAAAGCUAUUUAGGUAGCGCCUCGUGAAUUCAUCUCCGGGGGUAGAGCACUGUUUCGGCUAGGGGGCCAUCCCGGCUUACCAACCCGAUGCAAACUGCGAAUACCGGAGAAUGUUAUCACGGGAGACACACGGCGGGUGCUAACGUCCGUCGUGAAGAGGGAAACAACCCAGACCGCCAGCUAAGGUCCCAAAGUCAUGGUUAAGUGGGAAACGAUGUGGGAAGGCCCAGACAGCCAGGAUGUUGGCUUAGAAGCAGCCAUCAUUUAAAGAAAGCGUAAUAGCUCACUGGUCGAGUCGGCCUGCGCGGAAGAUGUAACGGGGCUAAACCAUGCACCGAAGCUGCGGCAGCGACGCUUAUGCGUUGUUGGGUAGGGGAGCGUUCUGUAAGCCGUUGAAGGUGUGCUGUGAGGCAUGCUGGAGGUAUCAGAAGUGCGAAUGCUGACAUAAGUAACGAUAAAGCGGGUGAAAAGCCCGCUCGCCGGAAGACCAAGGGUUCCUGUCCAACGUUAAUCGGGGCAGGGUGAGUCGACCCCUAAGGCGAGGCCGAAAGGCGUAGUCGAUGGGAAACAGGUUAAUAUUCCUGUACUUGGUGUUACUGCGAAGGGGGGACGGAGAAGGCUAUGUCGGCCGGGCGACGGUUGUCCCGGUUUAAGCGUGUAGGUGUGUGCUCCAGGCAAAUCCGGUGCACUUUAACACUGAGGCGUGAUGACGAGGCACUACGGUGCUGAAGUGACAAAUGCCCUGCUUCCAGGAAAAGCCUCUAAGCAUCAGGUAACACGAAAUCGUACCCCAAACCGACACAGGUGGUCAGGUAGAGAAUACCAAGGCGCUUGAGAGAACUCGGGUGAAGGAACUAGGCAAAAUGGUGCCGUAACUUCGGGAGAAGGCACGCUGAUAUGUAGGUGAAGUGAUUUACUCAUGGAGCUGAAAUCAGUCGAAGAUACCAGCUGGCUGCAACUGUUUAUUAAAAACACAGCACUGUGCAAACACGAAAGUGGACGUAUACGGUGUGACGCCUGCCCGGUGCCGGAAGGUUAAUUGAUGGGGUUAUCCCUCGGGAGAAGCUCUUGAUCGAAGCCCCGGUAAACGGCGGCCGUAACUAUAACGGUCCUAAGGUAGCGAAAUUCCUUGUCGGGUAAGUUCCGACCUGCACGAAUGGCGUAAUGAUGGCCAGGCUGUCUCCACCCGAGACUCAGUGAAAUUGAACUCGCUGUGAAGAUGCAGUGUACCCGCGGCAAGACGGAAAGACCCCGUGAACCUUUACUAUAGCUUGACACUGAACACUGGUCCUUGAUGUGUAGGAUAGGUGGGAGGCUUUGAAGUGUGGACGCCAGUCUGCAUGGAGCCGCCCUUGAAAUACCACCCUUUAAUGGCUGGUGUUCUAACGUGGGCCCGUGAUCCGGGUUGCGGACAGUGUCUGGUGGGUAGUUUGACUGGGGCGGUCUCCUCCUAAAGAGUAACGGAGGAGCACGAAGGUCAGCUAAUCCUGGUCGGACAUCAGGAGGUUAGUGCAAUGGCAUAAGCUGGCUUGACUGCGAGCGUGACGGCGCGAGCAGGUGCGAAAGCAGGUCAUAGUGAUCCGGUGGUUCUGAAUGGAAGGGCCAUCGCUCAACGGAUAAAAGGUACUCCGGGGAUAACAGGCUGAUACCGCCCAAGAGUUCAUAUCGACGGCGGUGUUUGGCACCUCGAUGUCGGCUCAUCACAUCCUGGGGCUGAAGUAGGUCCCAAGGGUAUGGCUGUUCGCCAUUUAAAGUGGUACGCGAGCUGGGUUUAGAACGUCGUGAGACAGUUCGGUCCCUAUCUGCCGUGGGCGCUGGAGAACUGAGGGGGGCUGCUCCUAGUACGAGAGGACCGGAGUGGACGCAUCACUGGUGUUCGGGUUGUCAUGCCAAUGGCACUGCCCGGUAGCUAAAUGCGGAAGAGAUAAGUGCUGAAAGCAUCUAAGCACGAAACUUGCCCCGAGAUGAGUUCUCCCUGACUCCUUGAGAGUCCUGAAGGAACGUUGAAGACGACGACGUUGAUAGGCCGGGUGUGUAAGCGCAGCGAUGCGUUGAGCUAACCGGUACUAAUGAACCGUGAGGCUUAACCUU